rnacentral:rRNA from 1 species
CCUACGGGUGGCAGCAGUGAGGAAUAUUGGACAAUGGGCGAGAGCCUGAACCAGCCAAGUCGCGUGAGGGAAGACGGUCCUACGGAUUGUAAACCUCUUUUGUCAGGGAGCAAGGAGCGCCACGAGUGGUGCGGCGAGACUACCUGAAGAAAAAGCAUCGGCUAACUCCGUGCCAGCGGCCGCGGUAAUACGGAGGAUGCGAGCGUUAUUCGGAUUUAUUGGGUGUAAAGGGUGCGCAGGCGGAAGCGGCAAGUCAGCGGUAAAAUUGCGGGGCUCAACCUCGCCGAGCAGUUGAAACUGGUCUGCGAGAGUGGGAGAGAAGUAGGCGGAAUGCGUGGUGUAGCGGUGAAAUGCAGAGAUAUCACGCAGAACUCCGAUGGCGAAGGCAGCAUACCGGCGCCCGACUGACGCUCAUGCACGAAAGCGUGGGUAUCGAACAGGAUUAGAUACCCGAGUAGUC